rnacentral:rRNA from 1 species
AGAGUUUGAUCCUGGCUCAGGAUGAACGCUAGCGAUAGGCCUAACACAUGCAAGUCGAGGGGCAGCGAGCCGUAGCAAUACGGUGUCGGCGACCGGCGAAUGGGUGAGUAACGCGUAUGCAACCUUUCCACAAAACGGGGACAGCCUUCCGAAAGGGAGAUUAAUACCCGAUGGCCUUGCCGGGCCGCAUGAUCUGGCAAGUAAAAUUUAUUGAUUGUGGGUGGGCAUGCGUCCCAUUAGGCAGUUGGCGGGUAACGGCCCACCAAACCGACGAUGGGUAGGGGUUCUGAGAGGAAAAUCCCCCACAUUGGAACUGAGACACGGUCCAAACUCCUACGGGAGGCAGCAGUGAGGAAUAUUGGUCAAUGGGCGGAAGCCUGAACCAGCCAAGUCGCGUGCGGGACGAAGGCCCUACGGGUCGUAAACCGCUUUUGUACGGGAAUAAAGUCACCCACGUGUGGGUGUUUGUAGGUACCGUAAGAAUAAGGAUCGGCUAACUCCGUGCC